rnacentral:rRNA from 1 species
UCAGUGAAAUUGAACUCGCUGUGAAGAUGCAGUGUACCCGCGGCAAGACGGAAAGACCCCGUGAACCUUUACUAUAGCUUGACACUGAACAUUGAGCCUUGAUGUGUAGGAUAGGUGGGAGGCUUUGAAGUGUGGACGCCAGUCUGCAUGGAGCCGACCUUGAAAUACCACCCUUUAAUGUUUGAUGUUCUAACGUUGGCCCGUAAUCCGGGUUGCGGACAGUGUCUGGUGGGUAGUUUGACUGGGGCGGUCUCCUCCUAAAGAGUAACGGAGGAGCACGAAGGUUGGCUAAUCCUGGUCGGACAUCAGGAGGUUAGUGCAAUGGCAUAAGCCAGCUUGACUGCGAGCGUGACGGCGCGAGCAGGUGCGAAAGCAGGUCAUAGUGAUCCGGUGGUUCUGAAUGGAAGGGCCAUCGCUCAACGGAUAAAAGGUACUCCGGGGAUAACAGGCUGAUACCGCCCAAGAGUUCAUAUCGACGGCGGUGUUUGGCACCUCGAUGUCGGCUCAUCACAUCCUGGGGCUGAAGUAGGUCCCAAGGGUAUGGCUGUUCGCCAUUUAAAGUGGUACGCGAGCUGGGUUUAGAACGUCGUGAGACAGUUCGGUCCCUAUCUGCCGUGGGCGCUGGAGAACUGAGGGGGGCUGCUCCUAGUACGAGAGGACCGGAGUGGACGCAUCACUGGUGUUCGGGUUGUCAUGCCAAUGGCACUGCCCGGUAGCUAAAUGCGGAAGAGAUAAGUGCUGAAAGCAUCUAAGCACGAAACUUGCCCCGAGAUGAGUUCUCCCUGACUCCUUGAGAGUCCUGAAGGAACGUUGAAGACGACGACGUUGAUAGGCCG